rnacentral:rRNA from 1 species
UACGUAGGCAGCGAGCGUUGUUCGGAGUUACUGGGCGUAAAGGGUGUGUAGGCGGUUGGUUAAGUUUGGUGUGAAAUCUCCCGGCUCAACUGGGAGGGUGCGCCGAAUACUGAAUGACUAGAGUGCGGGAGAGGAAAGUGGAAUUCCUGGUGUAGCGGUGAAAUGCGUAGAUAUCAGGAGGAACACCGGUGGUGUAGACGGCUUUCUGGACCGUAACUGACGCUGAGACACGAAAGCGUGGGUAGCAAACAGG